rnacentral:rRNA from 1 species
GAUGAACGCUGGCGGCGUGCCUAAUACAUGCAAGUCGAGCGAACAGACGAGGAGCUUGCUCCUCUGACGUUAGCGGCGGACGGGUGAGUAACACGUGGAUAACCUACCUAUAAGACUGGGAUAACUUCGGGAAACCGGAGCUAAUACCGGAUAAUAUAUUGAACCGCAUGGUUCAAUAGUGAAAGACGGUUUUGCUGUCACUUAUAGAUGGAUCCGCGCCGCAUUAGCUAGUUGGUAAGGUAACGGCUUACCAAGGCAACGAUGCGUAGCCGACCUGAGAGGGUGGUCGCCCACACUGGAACUGAGACACGGUCCAGACUCCUACGGGAGGCAGCAGUAGGGAAUCUUCCGCAAUGGGCGAAAGCCUGACGGAGCAACGCCGCGUGAGUGAUGAAGGUCUUCGGAUCGUAAAACUCUGUUAUUAGGGAAGAACAAAUGUGUAAGUAACUAUGCACGUCUUGACGGUACCUAAUCAGAAAGCCACGGCUAACUACGUG